UGGGGGCUGCGAUGGAGGAGUGGGCUCUGCUGGAUGAGAGGCAGAGGGAGCUCUACCGGGACGUCAUGCAGGAGAACUAUGGGGACGCCAUUUCACUGGCAAAAUGGGAAGGGAAGAGGGAAACCCCCCGAAGUAUGAAAAGUGAACGUUUAAAAAUUGUAUGCGGUAUUGUAGCUGGGUCAAAGAAGACUCUGUCUCUCUCUCUCUCAACAAUAGAAGUGGGUCCAAUGAAAGAUAUCAUCUCAUUUUACCGUUGGGAAUUUUAAUGGAAAUUUAAAACAUCUUUUUUAUUUAAAACAAAACUGAAAACAUUUAAAUGGAGUCUGUUUUUCAAGCUUCCUGUCCAGCCCUUUCUUCCUGUGGAAAAUUGAAAAAGGAUUUCCCGUCCCC